GACGAACGCUGGCGGCGUGCUUAACACAUGCAAGUCGAACGAUGAAGAAGAGAAACGCGAACUUCGGUUCAAAUUUCACUUCGGAUUAGUGGCAGACGGGUGAGUAACGCGUGAGCAACCUACCUCUUACAAAGGGAUAGCCGCGGGAAACCGUGAUUAAUACCAUAUGACACAUUCAUAAGUCAUCUUAAGAAUGUUAAAGCUACGGCGGUAAGAGAUGGGCUCGCGUCCCAUUAGCUAGUUGGUGAGGUAACGGCCCACCAAGGCGACGAUGGGGAACCGGCAUGAGAGGGUGAACGGUCACAUUGGAACUGAGACACGGUCCAAACUCCUGCGGGAGGCAGCAGUGGGGAAUAUUGCACAAUGGAGGGAACUCUGAUGCAGCGACGCCGCGUGAGCGAUGAAGGAAUUCGUUUCGUACAGCUCUGUUCUAUGGGAAGAAAAGGACUGUACCAUAGGAGAAAGCCCCGGCUAAAUACGUG
rnacentral:rRNA from 1 species